CCCUAUUAUAAAAAUUUAAAUUAAUUUACUAAAAAAUUAAUAGUUAUGUUCUUUAAAUUUAAAAAAUUUGGCGGUAUUUUAGUCUUAUUAGAGGAAUCUGUUUAUUAAUUGAUAAUCCACGAUUAAUUUUACUUAUUUUAAUUAAUUCAUAUAUCGCUGUCAUGAAUAUAUUUAAAAAUUUAUUUUCUUUAAUUAUUUUAAUAAUUUAUGUUAAGUCAAGAUGUGGUUUAUAAAUAAGAAUAUAAUGGGUUACAUUAAAUUUUAUUUUUGGAUUUAAAAUGAAAAUUAAAAUGAAAUUGGAUUUAAUAGUAAGUUUAAUUAAUUUAUUAAUAUGAAUAAAGAUCUAAAUU
rnacentral:rRNA from 1 species